rnacentral:rRNA from 1 species
UACGGAGGGUGCAAGCGUUAUCCGGAUUCACUGGGUUUAAAGGGUGCGUAGGUGGUUUUGUAAGUCAGUGGUGAAAGCCCGGAGCUCAACUCCGGAACUGCCAUUGAUACUGCUUAACUUGAAUCAAGUAGAGGUGGAUGGAAUAAUACAUGUAGCGGUGAAAUGCUUAGAUAUGUAUUAGAACACCGAUUGCGAAGGCAGGACACUAGGCUUGUAUUGACACUGAGGCACGAAAGCGUGGGGAUCAAACAGG